GGGGCUGUAGCUCAGUUGGCUAGAGCGCCUCGGUCGCAUCGAGGAGGCCGCGGGUUCGAAUCCCGCCAGCUCCACCA
rnacentral:tRNA from 2 species